AAUUACAUCAGCUGUCUGGCAGCCUCAGCAAAGGGUCCUCCAGCAUACAGACUACAGGCUGUUAAGGAAAGGAAAAGAAAAAACCAAAGCAACAGCCUUUUCUCUUACAUUCGGAUAUCUUUAGGGAUAUAAGGAACCUCCAUCAGUGGCCAACCACGUAAUGAAGCUGCCACAUCUCUAUGGGCUGUGGCCAGUAUUGCUCCUGGAGUGGACCAGAGCUGCUUCUUAGAUGUUAUUCCUGUUUUCAGCAUCCAGGAGAGGACAGUGCUGGAAUGAAGCUUGUUUUGCCAGGGGAGGUGCAGAAUGAAUAUUAGGAAACAUUUCUUCUCAGAAGGAGUGGUGCUGCAGUGUUCACAGACUGCCCAGGGAGUGGUGGGGUCACCAUCCUUGGAGGUGUCCAAGAACCAUGGAGAUGUGGCACUGAGACAGAUGUAACUGAGAAAACAACAGUGACACUCCAGCAUCCCCUGUGCUCUGGUGCCCACGACCUGCAGUCAGCAUUGUAGGGUCCUGGGGAGGGCUCUGGGUGAGAACCCCUAUGUGCCUACCGCAUGGAUGCCAAAGGACAGGAUGCCACCCAAUGGCCAGAGAUGACCCAGGUGGAAAACCUCGGUCCUAAGGCACAUCCCUGUGGUGUGAGUGUCCCAGGUACGCUGGGAGCUUUCUCCCUGUGAGCCCACACGUCCCACAGCCUCUUCUGUUCUCCUCUCAGAAUGUGGUUUUUCAGGUCUUCAGUGCUAGUUUUGGUUGCUGGACCACAGACUAAGCUUUACCUCUGGUUUCUGGAAUCAGCCUUUCAUCCAGUAAGUAAGAAGAAUGACCCACAAAUGGACCGCCGUGUUUUGUUCUGCUCUCAAACUGAGCAGCAGGAACUCCUCUGGAUUCUGACCCAGCAGCACAUCUCCCAGCAAGUGAUGGGCUUGAAUGCCUGCAAGGGAGGGCUGGAGGGUUUCUGUGCAAACAAAACCCAUUUCUAACCUUGGCAGCUGCAGCAAAGAGCUCCUGGUUGUCACUCCGCACUCAGGGAGCCACACAAGAGGUCUCCUUCACACCGGCGUGUUUUCUGAAUGGCCCCUUGCAAACCUUGUAUGUGUGGGAAUUGCUACGAAAUUGAAAUAGGCUUGGACUUGUUCACAUCCACUCGCUGUAUUCAAGAUGAAAACACAUAGAAAAGCGAUUCAGAGCGACAGAACACUUUUUAAUUUAGAAAACAAAAGCUUUUCUGGAAGCCCAGAACUUCACCCAAACCACGAAUCAGAGCAGAAAUGUUGUAUUUUAGACUCACUGACACCUCUGACACACUGUUCACAGGUUGCCCAAGGAGGCUGUGGGUGCCCCAUCCCUGCAGGCAUUCAAGGCCAGGCUGGAUGUGGCUCUGGGCAGCCUGGUCUGCUGGUUGGCGACCCUGCACAUAACAGGGCGUUGGAACUGGAUGAGCACUGUGGUCCUUUUCAACCCAGACCAUUCUGUGAUUCUAUGAUUCCCAAAUAAUAGAAACUCCUGUGUG
ensembl:lncRNA